GGUCUGGGGUCGCGAUCACCCCACGAGGCGACAGCUGAAGUAUCGCGUCCGCCUGAAAAAGCCCUUUUCGCGGGCCGUCGUUUCGCCACGCGAUCUG
rfam:Rhizobium gallicum bv. gallicum R602, complete genome.